AUUGAACGCUGGCGGCAUGCCUAACACAUGCAAGUCGAACGGCAGCACAAUAAAGAUUUCGGUCUUUAUGGGUGGCGAGCGGCGGACGGGUGAGUAAUACCUAGGAAUCUGCCUGUUAGUGGGGGAUAACGCGGGGAAACUCGCGCUAAUACCGCAUACGUCCUACGGGAGAAAGCGGGGGCUCUUCGGACCUCGCGCUAACAGAUGAGCCUAGGUCGGAUUAGCUAGUUGGUGGGGUAAUGGCCCACCAAGGCGACGAUCCGUAACUGGUCUGAGAGGAUGAUCAGUCACACUGGAACUGAGACACGGUCCAGACUCCUACGGGAGGCAGCAGUGGGGAAUAUUGGACAAUGGGCGAAAGCCUGAUCCAGCCAUGCCGCGUGUGUGAAGAAGGUCUUCGGAUUGUAAAGCACUUUAAGUCGGGAGGAAGGGCUGCAGGUUAAUACCUUGCAGCCUUGACGUUACCGACAGAAUAAGCACCGGCUAACUUCGUGCCAGCAGCCGCAGUAA
rnacentral:rRNA from 1 species